rnacentral:rRNA from 2 species
ACAUGCAAGUCGAACGAACUCUGGUAUUGAUUGGUGCUUGCAUCAUGAUUUACAUUUGAGUGAGUGGCGAACUGGUGAGUAACACGUGGGAAACCUGCCCAGAAGCGGGGGAUAACACCUGGAAACAGAUGCUAAUACCGCAUAACAACUUGGACCGCAUGGUCCGAGUUUGAAAGAUGGCUUCGGCUAUCACUUUUGGAUGGUCCCGCGGCGUAUUAGCUAGAUGGUGGGGUAACGGCUCACCAUGGCAAUGAUACGUAGCCGACCUGAGAGGGUAAUCGGCCACAUUGGGACUGAGACACGGCCCAAACUCCUACGGGAGGCAGCAGUAGGGAAUCUUCCACAAUGGACGAAAGUCUGAUGGAGCAACGCCGCGUGAGUGAAGAAGGGUUUCGGCUCGUAAAACUCUGUUGUUAAAGAAGAACAUAUCUGAGAGUAACUGUUCAGGUAUUGACGGUAUUUAACCAGAAAGCCACGGCUAACUACGUGCCAGCAGCCGCGGUAAUACGUAGGUGGCAAGCGUUGUCCGGAUUUAUUGGGCGUAAAGCGAGCGCAGGCGGUUUUUUAAGUCUGAUGUGAAAGCCUUCGGCUCAACCGAAGAAGUGCAUCGGAAACUGGGAAACUUGAGUGCAGAAGAGGACAGUGGAACUCCAUGU